CAAAGAUUAAGCCAUGCAUGUCUAAGUAUAAACAAAUUUAUACAGUGAAACUGCGAAUGGCUCAUUAAAUCAGUUAUAGUUUAUUUGAUGAUAAUUUACUACAUGGAUAACUGUGGUAAUUCUAGAGCUAAUACAUGCACAAAAAUCCCAACGAAAGAAGGGAUGUAUUUAUUAGAUACAAAACCAAUUCAUGGAAACAUGAUUUUGGUGAAUCAUAAUAACUUUUCGAAUCGUAUAGCCUUGAGCUGACGAUGCAUCAUUCAAAUAUCUGCCCUAUCAACUUUGGAUGGUAGGAUAGAGGCCUACCAUGGUUUCAACGGGUAACGGGGAAUAAGGGUUCGAUUCCGGAGAGGGAGCCUGAGAAACGGCUACCACAUCCAAGGAAGGCAGCAGGCGCGCAACUUACCCAAUCCCGACACGGGGAGGUAGUGACAAUAAAUAACAAUACAGGGCUCUUUUGGGUCUUGUAAUUGGAAUGAGUACAAUUUAAAUCCCUUAACGAGGAACAAUUGGAGGGCAAGUCUGGUGCCAGCAGCCGCGGUAAUUCCAGCUCCAAUAGCGUAUAUUAAAGUUGUUGCAGUUAAAAAGCCCGUAGUUGAAUUUGAGAAUUAAUUUUAAGGUCCAUUUAACGAUGAGUACUUUAAAAUUGAUUCUUACCUUUUGGUGAACUAAAUGAUUGAAAGAUUGUUUAGGGAACCAAAAAUUUUACCUUGAGAAAAUUAGAGUGUUCAAAGCAGGCCUAAAGCCGGAAUACAUUAGCAUGGAAUAAUAAAAUAGGACGUGUGAUUCUAUUUUGUUGGUUUUUAGAAUUACCGUAAUGAUUAAUAGGAACAGUUGGGGGCAUUUGUAUUCAGUAGCUAGAGGUGAAAUUCUUGGAUUUACUGAAGACAAACUACUGCGAAAGCAUUUGCCAAGGAUGUUUUCAUUAAUAAAGGACGAAGGUUAGGGGAUCGAAAAUGAUUAGAUACCGUUGUAGUCUUAACAGUAAACUAUGCCGACUAGGGAUCGGAUGAUGU
rnacentral:rRNA from 1 species